rnacentral:misc_RNA from 1 species
GUAUUAAUUGCGUGUGAUCGCAAAGAAAGACAUUCUACACUGUAUCGAGUUUGUGUGAAAACGCGAGCCCCCGGAAGGGGACCCACGCGGUGGUGCACAUAGGGGUGAGAUGGAUGUUUGAGAGCGCUCGGGCGUGCACGACAAAAAAGUCAGCGACAGCCCUUGCACCUCAGUUUUACGAUAAUGAUCCUUCCGCAGGUUCACCUACGGAAA